AGAGUUUGAUCAUGGCUCAGGACGAACGCUGGCGGUGCGCCUUAUGCAUGCAAGUCGAGCGAAGCUUUUCAGUAGUUUACUACAGAAAAUGACUGAGCGGCGAACGGGUGAGUAACGCGUGAGCAACCUACCUUAGUUACUGGGAUAGCCCGAGGAAACUCGGAUUAAUACCGGAUAUUCUUAUUUAAUCACAUGAUUUUUUAAGGAAAGGUCAGCCGAACUAAGAUGGGCUCGCGUUCUAUCAGCUAGUUGGUAGGGUAACGGCCUACCAAGGCUACGACGGAUAGCUGGUCUGAGAGGACGAUCAGCCACACUGGGACUGAGACACGGCCCAGACUCCUACGGGAGGCUGCAGCAGGGAAUAUUGUGCAAUGAACUAAAGUUUGACACAGCGACACCGCGUGUGGGAUGACGGAUCUAGGUUUGUAAACCACUUUCAGGAGGGAAGAAAAUGACGGUACCUCCACAAGAAGCCCCGGCCAACUACGUGCCAGCAGCCGCGGUAAUACGUAGGGGGCGAGCGUUGUCCGGAUUUAUUGGGCGUAAAGAGCUCGUAGGCGGUUCAACAAGUCGGUCGUGAAAGUUCAGGGCUCAACCCUGAAAUGUCGAUCGAUACUGUUGUGACUAGGAUACGGCAGAGGUGAGUGGAAUUCCGAGUGUAGCGGUGAAAUGCGUAGAUAUUCGGAGGAACACCAAUUGCGAAGGCAGCUCACUGGGCCGCUAUCGACGCUGAGGAGCGAAAGCUAGGGGAGCAAACAGG
rnacentral:rRNA from 1 species